UACAUAGGUCCCAAGCGUUGUUCGGAUUCAUUGGGCGUAAAGGGUGCGUAGGCGGCGCGGUAAGUCGGGUGUGAAAUUUCGGAGCUUAACUCCGAAACUGCAUUCGAUACUGCGGUGCUUGAGGACUGGAGAGGAGACUGGAAUUCAUGGUGUAGCAGUGAAAUGCGUAGAGAUCAUGAGGAAGACCAGUGGCGAAGGCGGGUCUCUGGACAGUUCCUGACACUGAGGCACGAAGGCCAGGGGAGCAAACGGG
rnacentral:rRNA from 1 species